rnacentral:tRNA from 2 species
GUCUCCGUAGCUCAGCUGGAUAGAGCGUUCGCCUCCUAAGCGAAAGGCCGCGCGUUCAAAUCGCGCCGGGGACGCCA